ensembl:lincRNA
ACUCAAACCAGCUGUAUUAAGGAAGGUGCAAGCUUUUGGGAUUUCUGUUUGGAUUUAGUUUAGGUUCAAAAGAGCACGCACAGAUCCUGAGUGUUGUCAAGCACCCGUGACUGGGAAACAGAGGCGUCCGAUCCGUAUUGGAGUCAAUUCGCCACUUAAUUGAACACAGCCUCGAAGGGAAGGGCCAUAUUUGUGGGCCUGUCUAACAAUUAAGAGUGACCACAUGGAAUGGGGGAUGAAAGGGUUAAAGAAGAACAAAUAUUGAACACAGCUUUUCUAUGAACAAACUGCAGGCAGCUGCUGCUUUGCAAGGGGAACUUCUUGGCUGCCAUUUCUGGAUGUCAAGGCUGCAGAUACACUGGUCAGGACCCUGGGUAGAGAGAGAUGCGUCAGAAUGCGACUCCUUUCAGAAAGGCUUCUCCGGAGGUUGGUGAGGUCAGCUGACUACUAGAAGACAGAUCUAUUUGAAGAUUUUUGUGGUGGUCUUUACUACUUCAGAGAUUUACAGCUGAUGAAAAAUGGAGAAGUACAUGACCCUACCCUGCUGUUGGACAUGCUACCCAAGGAUCAUGACUGACAACUUGUCAACAUCACUAUUGCUUAUUUAAUAAAUGUGCAGUACUACUUCAAUAAACCUGGAAUCAUAAAAUUUUAGAGAACAAACCUUAAAUUACAU